GCAAUAUAAUAAUGCUACACUAACAGCUCCACCACUGCUGUCCCCACAGGAAAGACAUUGCCAAACUGGAGAGGAUGCCUGGAUUAGAGAGCCUGAGAGCUUGGCCAUUUUACAUCUUUAUUUCUGUUUCCGAAGCUUGCAGAAUCUCUGAGGAAUGGUCUCCUUUGGGAUUUUCUCCAGCAAAACAAGUAUGGCAGAGUCAUUGUUUUCUUCAAAUAGACGAAACCUCCAAAGAUUCCAGCUCAAUAAACACCAUCAGUG